UGGCAAACGGGUGAGUAAUACAUAGGAAUCUACCUAGCAGUAAGGGAUAACAAUGGGAAACCAUUGCUAAUACCAUAUAUUACCGAUUUAUCGGGAAAGAUUUAUCGCUGUUAGAUGAGCCUGUGUCCCAUUAGCUAGUUGGUAGGGUAAUGGCCUACCAAGGCAAUGAUGGGUAGCUGGUCUGAGAGGAUGAUCAGCCACACUGGGACUGAGACACGGCCCAGACUCC
rnacentral:rRNA from 1 species